GACGAACGCUGGCGGCGUGCUUAACACAUGCAAGUCGAACGGAAAGGCCCUGCUUUUGUGGGGUGCUCGAGUGGCGAACGGGUGAGUAACACGUGAGUAACCUGCCCUUGACUUUGGGAUAACUUCAGGAAACUGGGGCUAAUACCGGAUAGGAGCUCCUGCUGCAUGGUGGGGGUUGGAAAGUUUCGGCGGUUGGGGAUGGACUCGCGGCUUAUCAGCUUGUUGGUGGGGUAGUGGCUUACCAAGGCUUUGACGGGUAGCCGGCCUGAGAGGGUGACCGGCCACAUUGGGACUGCGGUACGGCCCAGACUCCUACGGGAGGCAGCAGGGGGGAAUAUUGCACAAUGGGCGGAAGCCUGAUGCAGCAACGCCGCGUGCGGGAUGACGGCCUUCGGGUUGUAAACCGCUUUCGCCUGUGACGAAGCGUGAGUGACGGUAAUGGGUAAAGAAGCACCGGCUAACUACGUG
rnacentral:rRNA from 1 species